CGCAGGAUUGUCCCAGAGCACCUGUAGAGGGACAGGACUACAGUCAUGUACACACAGGAGUGUCCCAGAGCACCUGUAGUGGGACAGGAAUACAGUCAUGUACACACAAGAGUGUCCCAGAGCACCUGUAGUGGGAUAGGACUACAGUCAUGUACACAUUUAACUGCUAAUACUUCCGAGUCUUGUCUGUAUAAUCAAAAGUAUCGUCAUGCAGACUAAGCUGAGCUAGAGGUCCUGCCCCUUGCCUCCUUCCUUUAUGCAUGGCAGUUGACUGGUCCAUUUAAAAUGUUUCUGCCACUUCCCCAAUAUGUCGUGAAUUUGAGAUUUUUCCAGUCAUUUUAUUAAUUAACUUUAUCCUCAGUGGAUUUUUUUAAAAUAUCAAUACAAAAAUAAUAGUAGUAACUUCAACAUAUGAGCCAUUCAGACAAACUCUGGAAACAAACUAAAACAAAGAAACAUAUUUACAUAAACGCAUCCAUUUCAAUGUCAGCACAUGCCUUGUCUUCAGUGACACGUGUCGACAGAUGUAUGGAUGGCACCAGCUCAGGUGUCUCAUGCAGCAAAUAUUCAGAUAUAUAAAUAUGUAUGUUUAUUGUUUCCACAUUUUUUUCUUCCUAGAGCAAAACAGUGAAAGGCCAUUCAUCCCCUCUGUACAGUGAGAUGAGAGGGUUGUGUCUCUUUCAGCAAGUCACCAGUUGCGGCCAGCAGCUGAGCACACCGGCACUGGCAUUGUGCCACCUGGCCCCUUAUAGAGUGUGGGAGACAGCACUGCCUUGUUAAUGUUAGUAAACCAAGCUUUUCUCCAACAGCAAGUUUGAUGCCAAGUGGAGGGAGCAGAGCAGCCUCUGCUUAUCGUCCUCUCUGCGGUGCGUGUCUUUGUUAACCCGUGUGGGAUAAGUCACCUUCCAGAGGUCAAGUUACCUGCAGACAGGAGCAGUAGCACAAGCGGGGUGGUGGUGAUCAUGGUGGCUCUGGUGGUGGUGAAGUGGUGGCUCUCCCAACCGCCUUUAUAGCUGCGCACCACUGCCUCGUGCCUACAGAAAAUGGCCAGCCUUGAGUGGAACCGAAAUUCAGUAUACUAGCUCACCACUUCUGUCCGCCGAACACGUGGCAUCUGUCUCCGUUACUGUGUGUCAAGGUAUUUGAGGAGCUUCGAAACCUAAGACUGAGAUACUGAGAGAAGAGUGAACUCUUGAAGCCUCAGGCACGAGUGUAUGGAGUUCGAUCUUCAGAGAGGCAGUGCAUUCUUGGCCGUGGCGGAAUUAGGUUCGUGUGUAUAUGUGUGUGUGUGUGUGUGUGUGUGUUCGUUGUUUUCAUAUUAUUUCCUUCCACGUUUAGUUUUUCUCCCCUCGAGUUUACGGCUCUGUUUUCUUGUACAAAUAAUCACUCCCGUCUUCUUUCCUUCUUUUCCACUGUGCUUACUUUCGUCCUCUACACAAGCUUUAUCCCUCCCCCGCUGCCGCCUUCGCUUCCAUCACCAGUGGUUGGCUGCUGCCGCAGCUGCCGUUGCUUGAGGCUUCAUGGGUUGAAACAGGUGACGCCAAUGCAAGUGACGGCUGUAGCUGUAAUGACAGACGCAAAAUGCACUCGAGAAUCCAACAAGUCAAUUUGUCCCGCCUCUCUAUUUAUGCUUGCUGGGAGCCCUUCAGUAAAAUGGAGAGAAGGAAGAAGAGUACUGAAUAUAUUUUGCAGCUCCUAGCCAUGUAAUGCUUGGAGGUGGUUGUACAACAAGCAAACAUGUCACACAAAGCUUAGUGGUGGAGGAAACCUGUCACAAAUACCACUGAAAGGUUAAGACCCUUGUCAUGUCCCCUGUACCACUUGAAGACCUCCAUCAGAUCCCUUCUUUGUCACCCUUGUCACAUCCCCUAUAUCACUUGAACACCUCUAUCAAUGUACUUUUUUUUUAACUGUACAUAUGUUAUUCAACAUUCCUGUUAAUGUCUUUAUUCUAAUCAAAUAAUUACUAAUGUCAUGUAGUGUAGCCUUGCAAGCAAUGCGUUAUAAGUUGAUUUGAUUUGAUUUCUUUUAAAAAGGUUUGCCCCAGCCAAAGCAAAGACAUCUCUGCUGCCAUCAGCAGGGGUCCAAACACGGCAGGUCCCACCACAUUGGAUUUUGUGUAGCCAUUGAGAGAUAACAGGUGAGCUGUGUGUGGUGAGCCCCAUGUUGUCUCUGAGGGUGACCCCCAUAUCCACACACCAGCAGCAGCAGCAGCAGCAGCAGCAGCAAGUGUCCACCUCCUCCUCCUCCUCCUCCUCCUCCUCCUCCUCCAGCAGCUGGCUAGGGUGUAGGGGCAGGCUGAGCAAGUUGAAGGGGGAAACACCUGUAACUGUGCACUUCCUCACUGGCAAUGAAAAACUAUGAGCAACAACUCCCCUGCGAUGAACAACACCUCUCACGUGCAACAACAACAGUCAACAAUACCUGCUUCACACUGAUGUAGGUAAGUAGGUAGGGGUGGGUCUCUCUCUCUCUCUCUCUCUCUCUCUCUCUCUCUCUCUCUCUCUCUCUCUCUCUCUCUCUCUCUCUCUCUCUCUCUAACACUUUAUUAUGCUUGACAAGUAUACAUAUAUUUUACAUACAAUUUUUAACAGGUCAAACAGCCCAUUACAAGCGAGGGGGGGUUUAUGGGCAAUGGCAGGUAAAAAUUUAAAUUUUGGGAAUAAUAUAUUUUAUGAAAUAGUAGAAGAGAGGUAAUACAAACUAAUAACAUUUUAUAGAUAGUUGAAGAGGUAAUACAAGCUAACUUUUUAUAGAUAGUUGAAGAGGUAAUACAAGCUAAUAGGAACUAUUAUUUAGUUGAAGAGGUAAUACAAGCUAAUAUUAAUAUAAAUCAUACUAAUAAUACAGCACAAUGAUGGUAAAUAGUAGUGUAAUAUAAUAAUGCUAUAAUAUCUAUGAUAGUAGUGUAGAAAUGUAUCAAUCUGUAGAUUGCAAUGUGUGACUAGUAAAGAGGACAACAUGUCUCUUAAAUUUGUCUUUAAAAGAUGAUAGGCUGGGUGAGUGUUUGGUAUAUGACAUUGUAUAUUCAUAUUUUAGGUCCUAGUAGAUACAUAAGUGAAUGUUUGUAUAAUGUUAAAUUGGAUCUGGGUAUAUUUAGUGAGUACUGGUUCCUGGUUAGGUAAUU